UCGGGAGGCCCCGCUGCCCCCCGGAAGCCUAAACCCCCCUUCGGGAGGCCCCGCUGCCCCCCGGAAGCCUAAACCCCCCUUCGGGAGGCCCCGCUGCCCCCCGGAAGCCUAAACCUCUUCUGUGUGCCGGCCAGGAGCGUGGAAGAAAUGGCCGAGCAUGGGCUUGGCUGUGGGCGGUUGGGGCGACAGAGGGGUCCCCCAUCCGCUGAGGGCAGCGUGGUUGGACCUGGGGCCCGCAAGCUCCCGUGCAUCCACGUCCCGGUUGUAAGGGGAGAGGGUAGGAGUUUUGCUCUCGCUGGGUUGCCGGGCAAGGAAACACACCGUAUGUACAAGCGCUUCAAGCGUGGAGGGCACCGGGGAAGCCCGCCCAGGGUCACUUAAGGCAGGAGGCUCCUGGGAAGGGAGGUGGGGGCCCAGGGCCCCCGUCCAGCCUCCCCCCACCGCACACAAGCGUCCUUUCUUUCCUACCUGCUCAUUCACCCGAGUGUUGGGGUGGGCGGAGAUGCAGAGAAGCAUCCCCUCUCCCUUCAGAGCAUCCGUGGCUUUUCUGCAGGCCUGUGGCCGUGACUGUGGAGGCCGGGUCUCUGGCAGGACGCUCGCGUGCGCGUUCCCGGAAUAAGGAAUUCUGCAGUGUAAAUGCCCGGGGCACUUACAGACCCAGCCUCGUCCACCCCAGAGCUCAGAUGGGAGGUGACGCUGGUUCCUUCCAGCCACACAGCCGGCUGAUUGCACAGCCCAGGGAAAAGACAGAGUGGAACUGAGACAUUUACAGGACGAAAAAAUGUUCCAAGUCAAGCCCUUCCGCACAAAGCAGGGUGCAAAGCUAAAUAACAUUUGAGAUUUCAAAACAAAAACAGUCAAAGUUUGGUGGUUUUUUUUUAACCUCUGGGCUCUGGCCGGUGUGGGGAAUUCAGCUUGAUGCGUAUGUGUAGUCAUGUCCGACCCUUUGGAGACCCAAAGCACUGUCGCGCCCCAGGCUUCUCUGUCCAUGGGAGUUUUCAGGCCAGAAGACUGAAGUGGGUGGCCGUUUCCUCCAUUUCCAGGGGAUCUUCCUGACCCAGGGAUCAAACCCGCAUCUCCUGCGUCCCCUGCAUGGCAGGCGGAUUCUUUACCCUCUGAACUGUCAGGCUUCCUCGCUUAGUGAAAAAUAAAAUGCAGAUGAGUUGUUCUUCUGAGCAAAUAUGGCUGGGUGUUUCGGGAAGAAACGAUGUCUCAGAAACUGAUGGGUGCAUGGAGGCGUGAGGCGGGUGUUUUGGGGGCUGCUGGGAGAGAAAGAGCAUUACCAUAAAACAAGAACUUUAGGAGCCCUAGAGAAAGAAAGUUGGGGAGUUUUCCAGUGACAUGUUGAAUUGAAAAAGAAAAUAAACCCAUGCUGUCCUGAACACGAUGGCAGAUCCAGUUUGGAGAAGUUGAGAAAGAGACUGCAUUCCCAAACUCCCGGGAAAACUCCUCAAAGCCUUCCCCAAGGAGCCCCCAGAGGGAAGCGCUGACUCUGCAGCCUGCCGGGAGGGGCGGCCUGGACCGCAGUCAGGAAGAGACCCCAAAUCCUCAGGGGCAGAGGGCGUUGAGUGUGUGGCUUGGCCCGGUGGAAAGGAGAGAGGCCUGUGAAAGAGCACUGCUGAAAGGAAGGAGCAUCUGGAAGGCACCAUCGAGUGCUUUACACGCACGCCAAGCUGAGUCCUGUGAGCGUGGGCUCGCAUCAGUUAUUCCAGCUGUGUGUGCUUCUUCCCCUGAGAUCGCCUGCCCCUGCAGGUCAGGAUUUGUCUUGCAUUUGAUGAGGCUCUGAGUGGGCUGGAACUGUGUGUGUGUGUGUGCGUGUACAUGAGUGUGCAGAGCGACCAGAGUCUCUUGGUCAGAGUCUGCAUCCCAGCACUGCACACGGACCGAUUUGAUGGUCAUUUUGUUCCUUUAUGUGGCAGGUGUAUAAUCCCGUAUCACAGAUGUAGACACUGAGGCUCUUUGGGGGCUGUUUGGCUGUAGCGCUCGUUCAUUCAUUCAUUCAUUCAUGCUGCCAAAGCACAAAGAUGUCCCUGAAUGAGAGGGCCGUCGGGGGGUGUGUGUGUUUCUGAGCUCCUUUAUCAAGAGGGCCUUUCCUGGACUUCCCUGAUGGGGCAGUGGUUAAGAUUCCGCCUCUCAAUGCAGGGGACGUGAGUUUGAUCCCUGAUCCGGGAGGAUCCCGGCCACGGGGCAUCCACGCCCGUGCACCACAAUACUGAGCCCGUGCUCCGGAGCAGGUAGCCUCGACUCCUGAAGCUUGAGCUCCUGGACAAAAAGAGAAGUCUCAGCAGGGAGAAACCUGCACACCGCAACCAAAGAGGAGUCCCCAGUCUCUGAAACCAGACAAAGCAACGACGGUCCAGCACAGCCCAAAACAAAAGUAAUAAGUAAAUAAAAUCAUUUUAAAGAAGAGGGCCUCUUCUAUCAGCCCAGCCUCCAACAGUGAUGGCAUUGAACUUAGAGAGCCCUUCCUCAAAGCUGAGAACAGAUCCCUUCCACUCACAAAGUGGGGAUGACAGUUGUAAGCGGGAUCAGGAGGAAACCUUUUGCCGUUCUUCGCACAGGACUUGCCCCCAGCCCUGGGUCUCCCACCCCUUCGCUCUCACAGGCGGCUCCCGAGAUGGCGGCCCUCCGGUUUCAUUUCUGCAUGAAAGUCAGAGAAUCUAGGUCAGUUUAUCCAAGUAGAAAGUGUUAUUUUAUUGAGUUAACUCCCUGCAAACUGCUGCCUCAAUGCUUUAUAGAAACAAAGUCCCUUGUGUCUGGGCAUGUUCUCAGGCAGUGUUCAGAGGCUUCUAGGUUAUCACUUAGAUUGAAAAGCAACAAGGAAAACCCUUUCUUUUUUUUUUUCCUAGAAAAUGGUGGUUCCUGGUAAUGUGGGUGUCUUUUUAACUGUUUUAUCAGACACUCAAUCUAUCCAGGCUCUUUGAUUGUGAAAGGAUUUGAAGUGAGAUUACAAUGGCGCUGCAUCAAUGUCCAGGAAGACUGGCAUGCCCCUGACCGAAGCCCAGACCCCCCUCGUGAUUGCAGGGUUUCCUUGGUAUUUCCAUCAGCUGACCCAAUAAUGAUCAUUGAACCUAGACUGGUUAUCAGAAGAGAAAGGGGUCUGUUCAGUUGCUAAACACCAGUAUCUUCUCAUCGAGGUUUCAGAUGUCUCAUCACUGUGAUUUUUUUAAUGUCUUCACGCCACAGUGAUGCUGCUUUAGAAUAAUACUUUUCAAUAUUUUAGAGUAGAAUUAAACAAAAUGUGGCUCGUGGACCAGAGCCAGGCAAUGAGCUGUUACCUGACGGGAAUGAUAGGCAUGUACAGAAGUGAGGAACGGACCAUGUAGCACAGGAAGCUACACUCAAUGUCCUGAUAAACUACAGGAAAGAGAAGGCGGAAACCAAGGCGUACGUAUGUUAACUGCAUCGCUUUGCUGUGCCGCGGAAAUUGACGCAACGUUGUAAAUCGACUCUCCUUCAAUAAAAUGUUUUUUGAAAAGGGAGGCACAGAAUUGAGAAACUCUGAGCUGCGUGAUACUGCUGUAACAUCCAAGGGGUGUGUCAUUUUCCUAGCGACUCAUCUGACUUGUAUUUCAUACAGGUAUUUGUCUAUUGUGGGUUACAAGCGGGCAAAUCAAACAAACGGCUGGUGUUUUCCUGCAGAUAGGUCAGGAAUAACUUGUUACAGCAUCCAUCACCCCAUGUGGUACUCCUUCCAGUUUUGUGAGGGACACAGGAUUGCCUUUUACAGAUAAAUACACCCAGGCUGGGAGAGAGGAAAGACAGCUGGCUGUCACCUGUGGGCUGUCUCCAUCUAGCUUCACACCUGAAGCCAGCGGCUUUCUGAAAUAACCCUCUGCUGCUAAUCACGGACACAGCUGAGCCGGCCGAGCUGCAGAUGCUCUCGCCUGAGGUUUCUCUGUAUUUCUGGCUGUGCCGGUUCUUCUUUGCUGCCCGUCCACUGUCUCUAGUUGCGGAGAGCGGGGCUGCUCUCUAGUUGUGUGGCUCAGGCUUCUCGCUGCGGGGGCUUCUCUUGCUGUGGACCACGGGCUCUGGGGCGUGUGGGCUCAGGACCUGGGGUUCCUGGGCUCCAGAGCCGCAGGCUCAGUAGUUGUGAUGCACGGGCUUACUUGCUCCGUGGCACGGGGGAUCUUCCCCAACCAGGGAUCUAACCCUUGUCCCCUGCACUGCAAGGCGGACUCCUAACCACUGGACAACCAGGGACGCCGUGCCUGAGAGACAGAGAGAUCUCUGUGGACCGUCGACCCUGGUGACCUAUGAACAGAUAACCUUUGGUGAUAAUGAGUGAGUCUGAUGUCUGUAAUUAAGAGCAAUAAUAGAGAAGAUUAAAGAGGGAAGAAGGCAGUCAGCCCGCCUAGUGGAAGCCACCUCCCUGGAGCCGCCUGGCUUACUCACGGCCCACUCGCUUUCGGACACCUCUCCCCCAGCCCCCCUGCAGACGGAAGCAAAACCACUUUGUUCAGGUUGAUGAAUGACCUGAUUUAGAGGUCAGCAAGCUGCAGCCGGGUGGGCCAGACCCAGUGAGUCACCUGGACGUACAAAUAAAGUUUUAUUGGAACAGCCACAUUCGUUCGUUUCUGCUGAUGAUCUGUGGCCAUUUUCUGAAAUCAACCACAGACAUGGGUCGCCGUGACAGAGGCUGGGUGGCCCCUGAAGCGUGAAAUACUUGCUCUUGGUUCUCCACAGAGAUCGGCCUGCUGGCCUCUGUCCUGUGUCAACAGGUCCAUGAAUCUGGCCUCUGGUGGCCCCGAAGCCCUGCCCUGGCUCCUCCGCUCUCAUGAACGUCCUUCGCAGCUGUGCCUUCUCUCACCCCUGUGGUGCAGCGAACCUCACUGUCCUCUCCA